rnacentral:rRNA from 1 species
GUGAGGAAUAUUGCGCAAUGGAGGCAACUCUGACGCAGCCAUGCCGCGUGCAGGAAGAAGGCGCUACGCGUUGUAAACUGCUUUUAACCGGGAAGAAACCCCAGGACGUGUCCUGGGUUGACGGUACCGGAGGAAUAAGCACCGGCUAACUUCGUACCAGCAGCCGCGGUAAUACGAAGGGUGCAAGCGUUAUCCGGAUUCAUUGGGUUUAAAGGGUGCGUAGGCGGAGCGUUAAGUCAGUGGUGAAAUCCUGCAGCUUAACUGUAGACUUGCCAUUGAUACUGGCGCUCUUGAGUGCGCUUGAAGUGGGCGGAAUGUGCCGUGUAGCGGUGAAAUGCUUAGAUAUGGCACAGAACACCAAUUGCGAAGGCAGCUCACUAAGGCGAUACUGACGCUGAGGCACGAAAGCGUGGGGAUCGAACAGGAUUAGAAACCCUAGUAGUCC